rnacentral:pre_miRNA from 1 species
GUAUUCAUGUGUGAACGUGGUGUUCAGCACCAAGGACAGAUGUGGUCACCUGUGUGUGGAUAAUGUUUACCAUUAGGAACAGGUUUGUUUUCCC